AGCGGUCCUGGCACUAUUUAUCCAGGCCGCUGGGUGGCGCUCGGGUUCGAUUGAUCGAUGGUGGAGAAGCAACGAGAAAGACCGGCAACACAGACGCUGACAAACACCGAACACAGCAGGGAUUCUGAAGGGGAUGGAAAUGGAGUGGCUAUGUUUGCGUGUAUGAUGACCAGCGUGCUAAUGGCGUGCGUGUGCACCCACAACGCCCCAGCAGGGAACGGAGGAGGAGGUAACGCCGCCUUCACACUGGCAGUUGACAUCAGCUCCGAUACGGCUACGAAAUGACCGGAAGUCAUUCAUUUCCUAUGGAGAUUCGCAGACCGCAUGCGAAUGGCUAUGAACCUGGUCCGACCGAGUGCGGUGCGAAAAAAAUCGUGUCCGUCGGUCAUCCGGACGCGUUCAAAAAAUUGAACUCUUGCGAAAGGCUACGGACGGUUCCAAUCCGACAAUUCCAGCGGAAGUUGGAGUUGCUAUGGUACUGAUAAACAAACCUGAAUUCAUAACUUUUACAAUAAAUAAUGAUUUUAUAACGAUAA